rnacentral:tRNA from 3 species
UGCGGGAUGGUGUAACGGUAGCACGCGUGAUUCUGGAUCAUGUAGUCUAGGUUCGAAUCCUAGUCCCGCAGCCA